rnacentral:rRNA from 1 species
AGCGGCGGACGGGUGAGUAACGCGUGGGUAACCGUGCCUCAUACAGGGGGAUAACAGUUGGAAACGACUGCUAAUACCGCAUAAGCGCACAGUACCGCAUGGUACCGUGUGAAAAACUCCGGUGGUAUGAGAUGGACCCGCGUCUGAUUAGCUAGUUGGUGGGGUAACGGCCUACCAAGGCGACGAUCAGUAGCCGACCUGAGAGGGUGACCGGCCACAUUGGGACUGAGACACGGCCCAA